rnacentral:ncRNA from 1 species
UUAAAAGUGCUGACGGAAAAAAGUAAAUUUCCUUUCCCGGCGCAGAGAACCGAUGGAUGGUGAAAAUCGGUGCGGGCAGGAAGUCGAAGUUCUUUCCUGAACUGCUUUGCUGAAAUAACAGUAGGCAUUGCCGGAGUGGCUCACGUUAAGCGGCUGAGAGUUGAUCUGAUGAAGUAGGGUGGUACCACGGAAUAUCCGUCCCUUGGGUGCCGCCUUUUUUGUUUCUUUUUCAUCAGGUAAACAGGGUGGUACCGCGAUGAGUCCCGUCGUCCCUUGC